rnacentral:lncRNA from 10 species
GAUUUUUAAUGGCUCCUCUCAAAGAUUAACAUCUCUUCACUAAAUACAGAAGAAUUCCAUAUGUAAUGAAUUUCCAGCCUCCAUGAAAACAAAAUGGACUCUUUCAUGCUGUCUCAACAUAUGAAUACAUUGCUCUGUCACCUGGGUGUUAUUACCGACUUAAAUCUGAAAGAAGCUGGGCACGGCAGUGGUGUGUGGGUGCCUGCAGUCCUGAGGAGCUGGGACUGUUUCCCGAACAAUGCCUUUCCACCACACACGGUGGUUGUGAGGGCCAGCUGAGGCAAAGCCCUCAGGAAGACCACUCAAGCCCAGGAGUCCAGCCUGCGCAAGACAGUAAGACCCCUUAAAAAAAAAAAAAUCUGAAAGAAAAUAUAGAGCCAAAUCUUUAGAUAAAUGCUUUAUUAUUUUCUCAAAAUGUUAUAAAAGUCAUUUCUCCUUAGUACAGAGAGCUUUAUACAUUUUAUCUAGUAAUGAAUACAAUCUAGUUUAACACUCAUCUAUUUUACUAACAUUUCCUUAAUUUUCAAUUCGUAUUUUUCCUUUUCUUUCCUGAUUUUAGCUUUUUUUAGGCUUCUGUCACCACAAAAUGUUACUUGGAAAACUAGAUCCCAGCAGAUGACCUGUACUUCUCUGCUCUCUCCCCUACUGCAAAGAGGCAGUGAGGGCAGCAUUAGUAAGCCUGACUCAGGGGAAGGUAAGUGGCCUGCAGAGAAAUGGUCCUAGGUCCGCAACCGAGGCGAGUGAACUUGUCGGACAGAUGAAGACUCUAACUGGAAGAAACGAUCAGCGCAUUCACGGAUGCACCACCAUCCAGAAAUCUCCCGGUGGCUUCCAUACAAAAACUGAUGUUUCUAAAGAUGGAAAGAACAGGUCUAGGAGGCAGAAGAGUAUCUCCUAGCAAAGUGUUCUGUAGCUCAAAGGUCAGGAGCACGUCUUUGAAUUCCUCGCAGACGAUGUAUCCAUCAGUCCUGUGGGGACACAACGCGAUGUCAACCCUCGAACCUGCUGCCUGCUCUGCCUCUCCUCCCUCCCCAGUUUGUGGAAGACAGUGGGCCACAUCUGAGCACUAGGGGUCCUGAAGGAUGUCGCGGGUCAGCCAGUGUCCCACAUCCUCCGUGCAGAAGGCAGGCCUGUGGAAGCUGGCACUGCCUCUUCCUCCCCAGAUUCUGCCGAAGAAAGCUGGGGUGAAAGCCCCUAUCCAGCCUCACCCAUCAUGGAACAGAGCUCACUAACCAGGCAGCUGCCGGGGAAAGAUGCUGACUGUUUUUUGCUCACUAGCCUGUGAGUCCCUAAACCUGGGAAGAACGUUUUAAUCCAGCAUUACGAUGCCAGUUUCAUUGGCUCCGUUCCCUCUGGAGGGAAGCCAGAAUUGGUAAAGCACUGACUUUGCAAAUCCAGUGUAACAUCCUGAAAAUUGGAGCCACCAGGCCUCAACUCCCAGCAGCCCCAUGCCAGCUUUCCAUCCCCAUCUCUGGAGCCACCCCUCCCCAUCCCUGUGUUUAGCCUCCAUCGAAGGCCCCUCACGCACACGGGAUGGGAGUAGCCGCCAUGGAAAUCAAAGCCAGUGAUGGCCUGGACACAGUCGAUGUCCAGCUUGCGGGCCACGCGGUGUAGAUUGGGCAGGUUCAGCUGGACACAGCCAAUAGGCAUCAUGCUGGGCAGGAAGAGGUACACAUUCCCAAACUCGUUCCGGGGCACCUGUGUCGGGUGAGCAAGUCAGCAUUUGGCCAGCAGGGGAACAAGGCGGCCUGGUCCUGAGCCCUUCUGAUGCUGCCCUUACCUUCCCGUCCACGGCCACUGGGGGCUGAUACUCCUCUGUCUGCCAGUAGCCAAACAGGCCCAGGUCAUUUUCUUCCCGCAGCUGGGGCUCAGCAAGUCGGGCUUUCCGAGCACGGUUAGAAAAGCCUUUCACCAUCUGCACCAGAGGACACGGCCACCGUUUACAACAAAGGCAUCCAGUUCCUCAGCACCGGGCCAGGCACCAUGCUCAGUGCCGCAUGCCUGGUACCUGGUGAACCCUCAGAACACACCUACCAGCUGGGGUGCUUUUUCUCCCUUUUUUUUUUUUGAGACAGAGUCUCGCUCUGUCGCCCAGGCUGGAGUACAGUGGUGCAAUCUUGGCUCGCUGCAACCUCUGCCUCCUGGGUUUAAGCAAUUCUCCUGCCUCAGCCUCCUGAGUAGCUGGGAUUACAGGUGCCUGCCACCACGCCCGGCUAAUUUUUGUAUUUUUAGUAGAGACGGGGGUUUCACCAUGUUGGCCAGGCUGGUCUCGAACUCCUGACCUCAGGUGAUGCACUCGCCUCAACCUCCCAAAGGGCUGGGAUUACAGGCGUGAGCCACCGUGCCCGGCUGCUCCCCUUUUCUUACUACAAGCACUAGCUAACAUUUAUGGAACAUUCUCUGUCCCAGACACUAUUCUCGGUGUUUUUUGUUUUUUUAUCCCCCUGAGACGGAGUCUCACUCUGUUGCCCAGGCUGGAGUGCCCUGGUGUGAUCUCAGCUCACUACAACCUCCACCUCCCGGAUUCAAGUGAUUCUCGUGCCUGUCUCCUGAGUAGCUGGGACUACAGGUACCCGCCACCAUGCCCAGCUAAUUUUUAUAUUUUUGGUAGAGAUGGGGUGUCACCAUAUUGGCCUGGCUGGUCUCAAACUUCUGACCUCAAAUGAUCCACCUGCCUUGGCCUCCGAAAGUGCUGGAAUUACAGGCAUGAGCCACUGCGCCCAGCCUAUCUUCAGUGCUUUAUAUGUUAUUAUUUAAUUUUUUCAACAAACCCACAAGGUAGGUCUUAUUAUUGUUUCCAUUUUACAGAUGAACACCACAGACGGGGUAAAUGAUUUGCCUAAAGUCACACAGCUCGUAAGGGCCAGAGCCCACACUUUCAUCCACUAGCCUAUAUUCUGUGCUGUCAUCACUGAUAGCAGUGACUGAGACUGAGAGACAAAGUCACUUAAGAGCUGAUGGCUGGUAAGUGACAAGAACCAGGAUUUACAAUUCAGGUAACUGUCCAUCAGUAGAGCCUGUGUCUCAACAUAUAACCUAUGUCUGCUCACACGCCCUAGAAAGCACUGACAGUUCAGGACUCCCAGUGUGCUCCCCAACAGCGUGCAGUGGCCAAGGCCAAGAUCUUCCCUGGGGAGUGAAGUGGUGAGAGGGGCGCAGGACAGGCAAGGACAGAGUCACGUAACUCUUAGAGGAGUCAGGCAUGGGCGUGCGGCUGAGGGCUGGCCCCUGGGCCUCAGCAUACAGACUUCCUCUAGUGCAGGGGCCCACAAGCUUGUUCUGUAAAGGGUCAUGCGUGGCCUCCAUCACAUAUUCUUUAUUCUUCUCAUUCUUAUAACCCUUUAAAAAUGUGAAAAGCCAUUCCCCAGGUUGGGGGUGGCCUGCGAGCUCUCAUGUCCAUUCCUGCCAUGAUCUCUGGGCGCACCCUCUCUGUCACCACUUCAGGGACAGAGGGACUCUGAGUUCUGACAACCGUCCCUUUCUGAGAAGCCAUUCACCCAGCACACUGUUCAGUAAACUUCCACUGGGAUCUCCUGGAGACCAGGCCAUGACCCAGUCAUGAAGGAGGGAUGGAGCGAGGACAGUCUUUGCUCUUAGGAGCUCAGGCUCCUGCAGGGGAAGAGACAGAGCUACGACUCAGCGUGAUGAGUACAGGGUGGAACAGGAGCUCAGAGGCAAGCCAUUGCCCAGCCCUGAGGACAGUGGAGGCAAGAAAGGCUGCUCAAAACAGGUCCCGCCUGAGCAGAGGCUUAAAGGGGCAAGGGGUUGCCCAAGAGAACAGGGCUGGACCCCACAGGGCACAGAGGUGGGAGAACACUGGGACCUGGGGCCUAAGUCCUCUGGAAUGCAGAGGCAGUGAGCACCAGAACAUCACUGUGCACCAUGGGGAGGGUGCGGGACUCAGACUAAAGGCGCUGGCCAAGGUGGGACAAGGAUGGCCAAGAUGCACAGAAAGAGCCUAGUGACUGACAGGGGAAUGGAUUCAGGCUGGGAAGGAGGCUGUGGCUGUUGCCCAAGCAAAAGAUACUGAGGCAGGAGCUGGGGUGGUGGGGAUCAGAACAAGGGGUGAAUUUGAGAGAUUUGGGAUUCCAGAACUGUGCUACCAUGACAGCCACCAGUCACGUGUGGCCACUGCACACCUGAAACGUGGCUGGUCUGAACUAAGGUACAGAAAGUCAAAUACACAGAAGAUUAGAGAGACUUAGGAACAAAAUGGAUUUAAAUAUCUCAUCAACACUUUAAAAUAUUUCUUACUGCUGAAAUAGUAUUUUAGAUAUAUCUGGAUAUAUUUUAAUGUUAAAAUUCCACCUGUUUUUGGUUUUUAAUGUAGCUACUAAAAAAUUUAAAUGUGUGGCUCACGUUACAUUUCAACUGAACACUGCUAUGCUGGUUCCAGCACAAAAGACAGGUGAGAUGGUGCAGAGAAAAUCCUCAGCAACCCUGCAGGCCCAGGCAGGGGGCAUCGCCCACUCCAGCCUGCUGCUGGCAGUGACUGUGACCAGCGCCUGCAGCCUUUCCCACUAAGCGGAGGCCCCUCCACUCCCCACUCAGCUUCCCGGAGUCUUGCAACCCCCAAGGACUCCUGGGGUCUGAUGAGAAGUAAAUGGUCUCUGUGAUCAGCCACUGUACACUUCCGGUCGUACGGAGCUGUGUGUCCUGUGAAUAGUCUCUGUGGGACCUCGCUCGGUUCGUGUUCCUCAAGAGCAACCAGCCUAACAGUGCCGCAGCACAGUGUGAAAGGAGCACUGGCUUUAAGGCAGAGCCUGGGAUUCUCACCUGGGCUCUGCUCUGCCAUUUUACUAACUGUGGGGACUUGGACAAGUCACUUGCCCUGAGCUUCAGUUUUCUCAUCUGUAAAAUGGGCAUCAUAAUGCCAAUUCCUAUGGCUUUUGAGGCAACAGAGAUCACAUACAUGCAAAAUGCUCAGUGAACUGCCAAACAGAAGGGCAAUCUGACUGGAGAACGUGCUGCUAUAAAGCAGGGCUCUGACCUCCCAGGACCCAGUAACUCAAUUCCAACCUGUAGAACCUUUGAAUUCACAACAGGAGUCUGAGGCCUACUUUUUGGCCUAGAUUUCUUUUGUGUUUUGGAAGAUCCAUUUCUUACAAAUGUCUUAUUAAUAAGACAAUUUAAAUGUUUCUCUCCUCCUUGAAUCCUGCUCAAGCCGGGAAAGUGAGACAUUUCUGAUCAGGAUCCUGGGCAGGACUGGGAGGCUCAUCAUCACUUCUCUGCCCCCAGCUCUCCCGCUCAGCUACAGGCCUGUGUCACCACUCCCCACAGGGACCCCCCAGCUCCAGUUACCUUGUAGGGUACUUCUCCAAGCCUCACCACUCUUGCUUUCUUCAGCCACGUGUCCCUGGAAUGCAGAGUGUGCACACAAUCCCUGUGGAACCAACACAGGACACAAAGGUAACUCAGUCCACAGCCCCACUGCGGGAAUGCGGGACAGUGGAGAGCGCAGCCCUGCAGGCUCCCUCCUCAGGUUCAGCCACCCUGGAGCAGGCCGAGCUCCUAGGGGGCCCAGAGAAGCUGUGCUAGGCAAACAGCCUUGAACGUGGACUGCCUGUCUUUUGGGGGAUGUGUCCACUUACAAACCCUAAUCUGCAGCCUUUGUGCCUUGCCUCCACCACUCCUCCCCUUCAUAGGUUUUCUUCUCCUCUGCUGUCCAGAGCCUGUGAGAGCUCCAGCUGCAGACUAUCAGGAUGGGGUAAAGGCCGCUGUGCGCAGGCACACUCACGUUUACUACCACCACCAAGCGAACACCUGCUGAGGCUCUGAUCUGCUGUUAACACCAUGUGGGGGAGGGAAGUGUCCAGGAGGGGGCAGUGAACCCAAAGGAAGGCUGCAGAGAAGCCAACUAUAAUAAGCUAAUAAGCUAUCACAGAAUCAAGACACCUGCACAUGGAACAGUCAAAUGAUUCCUGCAGGCAAAGUUCCUCUGGCUUCACUCUUCCUCCCGAGCUAAGAGCUCACCAAAGCCGUGCAAAUCUACUUUCCAAUGAGGCUCAACCCCUCCCUUGCCAAGCCAUUUUUAAUAAGGCACGCCCAUCUCAUUAGUUUGCACCCCCUUCACUCUGUCCAGGGAGCGGCUCCAAUGAGCAAGGGCACCCCAUUUCCUCCUAGUGCAGGUUCAGACCCUUACCCACAGAGGAAUCUGAGGCUGAAUUUCAGCACAGCACAAUGGAUGGAGGUUGAACCUUGCCUGUGCCACUUCCUGGCUGGGCCACCUGGACAAGUCACUUUACCUUCCUGAGCCUCAGUACAGACAGUCCCCAAAGUCCAGUGGUUUGAUUCAAGAUUUUUCAACUUUAUGAUGAUGCAAAAGCAAUAUGCACUUGGGAGAAACUGUGCCUCAAGUACCCAUACAACCAUUCUCUUUUUCAUUUUCGGUAUUCAAUAAACUACAUGAGAUAUUCAAUACUUCAUUAUAGGCUUUGUGUUAGACAGCUUUACCCAACUGUAGGCUAAUGUGUUCUCAGCACGUUUAAGGGAGGCUCAGCUAAGCUAUGACCCAUGCUACAUACAACAGGAGUGAACCUUGAGGACUUUAUGCUAAGUGAAAUAAGCCAGUCACAAAAUGACCAUAAAUACCGUAUGAUUCCACCUACAUGAGGUCCGGUUAGGUUCGGCAGGUUAGGUAUAUUAAAUGCAUUCUCAACUUAGGAUAUCCUAUUUUCAGCUUCCAAUGGGUUUAUGGGGAUCCAACCUCAUCCUAAGUCAAGGAGCAUCUGUGUCCUCACCUACCAACUAGGGACAGUGAGCUUGCCCUUUCUACCGCACAUGGUUGCUGGGAGGACCAGACGUUUCCUGUGUGCCAGAGCAGCGCUUCUGCCAGUAGCACCAACCUGCCAGAGCUCAAAGCUCCACUCAUGCUCCCACUGGGGGCGGAACAUCUUUGACUGCCCAGAGGAGUGAUUAUGUCAUGGUCGUGGUCUUCAGACAGGAGCGGGUAAAAAAGGGGUCUUAGGGGUUGACAGGUAGGCAGCAUCUGGACAUCUUCCUAAGGAAAACAGCAGGGAAAUGGACACAGUCCUCUCAGAAUAAAUGUGAACUUCUAACCAUUUCACACCCGUUAAAAUGGCUAUUAACAAAACACAGAAAGUAACAAGUGUCAGUGAGGAUGUGGAGAAAGUGGAGACCUUGUGGACUGUCGGUGAAAAUGUAAAAUGGGUGCAGCUGCGGUGGAAAUGGUAAGGUGGUUCCUAAAAAAAUGAUGGGAAUUACCAUCUGGCCUAGUAAUUGUACUGGGUAUAUGCAAACAAACAAACAAACAAACAAAAACUGAAAGCAGAAUCUUGAAGAGCUAUCUGCACACCCAUGUUCACAGCAGCAUAAUUCACAACAGCCAAAAGGUGGAGACGAGCCAAGUGCCCAUUGAUGGAUGAAGGCACAAACAAAAUGUGGUCCACCCACACAAUGGAGUAUCAGCCUAAAAAGGAAGGAAAUUCUGACCCAUGCUACAAUAUGGAUGAACCCUGAGGCAUUAUGCUAAGUGAAAUAAGCCAGUCACGAUGUGACUAUAAAUACCGCAUGAUUCCACCUACAUGGGUCCCUAUAGUAGGCACACUCAGAGACAGAAAGGAGAAUGGUGGGUGCAGGGCUGGAGAAGGGGAAUUCGGAGUUUUUGAUGGGGACGGAGUUUUGGUUUGGGAAGAGGAAAAGAAAUCUGGAGAUGGAUGGUGGUGAUGGCUGGAUGACAGUGUGAAUGUGCUUAAUGCUGUAGGCUGUACACUUAAAAAAUGGUUGAGAUGGUAAAUUUUAUAAUAUUUAUAAAUAUUAUAAAUUUAUUUAUAUAUAUAAAUAUAUAUAAUUUAUAAAUAUUAUAAAUUAUUAUAAAAAAUUUAUAAAUAUUUUACCACAAUAAAAAAUAAAUCAAUAAAUAUGCACCUCUAAUGCUUCCUUCUGUCACUGACAUGGUGCCUCUGGACGACGCCUGCAUUCUCUUCCCAACAGGCUUUCUCCCGACUACCCGUACAUACCCAUAAGAGGAAGCCUCUAUCAGGGCAGCCCAGGCCCCCUGCUGCCUUUGACUGCUGGGUGCUAAAGUCCCAGAACAGCAAAGCCCUGCCCCUGCCCAGGGCAUCAUGCCCCCCACCGACAUCAAACAGAAAGCUCCAAGACAGGGCAGAGCCCUGAAGAGAGGGUCCAGCAUGACUCCCAUGGGGGGCUGACAAGCAGGAAGUCAUCCCCAGUGGGAGGACUCAAAUCGCCCACUCUCAUGUGGGUUUCCCUACGCUUCCUUUUUCUCUUUUCUGUACCUUCCUGUUUUCUCAUUUAUUAAGAACAUCUCCUAUUUCUUGGUCUUGUACAUCCCAUGUCUUUUAAAAUCACUUAUUUUACUUGCUUUUUAUUCCCAUUUCUCAAAAUUCCUGUUUCUAUUUUUUUCUUACCUCAAAAUUGUAUUAACAUUUUUCAAUUUUAAUUUUAUAUAUAUUUUAUUCAUUUUUUGCUCUUAUUCCACUCUUUUUUUAGCUAUUUCUUUUUACUGUGGUAUAAAACACAGUCACAUAAAAUACACCAUUUUAACCAUUUUUUUGUUUUUGAUACGGAGUCUCGUUCUGUCACCCAGGCUGGAGUGCAGUGGCGCGAUCUUGGCUCACUGCAAGCUCCGCCUCCCGGGUUCACGCCAUUCUCCUGCCUCAGCCUCUCCGAGUCGCUGGGACUACAGGCACCCGCCACCACACCCGGCUAAUUUUUUGUAUUUUUAGUAGAGACAGGGUUUCAUCGUGUUAGCCAGGAUGGUCUCGAUCUCCUGACCUCGGGAUCCGCCCGCCUCGGCCUCCCAAAGUGCUGGGAUUACAAGCGUGAGCCACCGCGCCCGGCCCAUUUUAACCAUUUUUAAGUGUGCAGUUCAGUGGCAUUAGGUCCAUUCACAACAUUGUACAACCAUUACCACCAUCCAUUCCCAGAACUUUUUCAUCCCAAACAGGGCUCUGUACCCAUGAAAAAUCCACUCACUUUUAACUUUCAUAAUCAAAUCCUUUAUUCCUUCCUUUUGUAUGUUUUUGACUUAUAUUUGUGGGGUGUGUUUUAUACUGCCCUAUCUUAAAUUUUAUUUUUCCUACUUUGUAUUUUAUUUUCCCUGUAACUGUUUUUCCCCUGCCAUUCUUUUAAUCCCUGUUUUAAUUUUCAAAUUUUCUUCUCUCCUACACAUCACACACACACAGCACACGCACACUGGCUCAGCCCGAGAAUGCUGUCCAGUCAGAUGAGCUCCCAUCAGCAACCCUUGCCUAGGAAGAAGGCUGCUAAUCCCAUGCCAUCAGGAAGCCCCUGAGGCCAACCAGGCUGCCUCACGCACCUGGAGUAGACCGCUUCUCCACGACAAUACCCAAGGAUGGCAGCUGUCUCGGGAUAGAUGGCCUCAUAUUUCAGGAGAUGCCGCUUCAGGGCAUACAGAGGGUGGUUCUUAUAUAAGCCAAUGGCAGUGGGCAAAGGCUGGUCCAUGUGUUUAGCCUGAAACUGCAAAGGCCAGACAGACAAGGUUGAGCAUGUUAUUUAGAAGAGGAAAUGAAGUUUGAGGGAGAUGAUCCUUAGACUAACUUGUUCUGACAACAGAUGGUGGAGCCAAGGUUUCAUGAACACUAAUGGUUUUGUAACAUCGCAUCUGUACCUCCGGCCAGUAAGUCAGUUACAGAUCAAUCAAAAGCUUUAAAGAAUCAAAUAAAUCUGUGGCUUGUGGCAACUUCAAAAAGUUGUCUAACCUAUUUGAAUGCUUAGACACCUAACCCAGCCCCAGCAGAUGUGUUAAAGGUCUGCAAGGAAGAAAAACACACAGUGCUCUUCAGUAAGAAGGUCUUAUUUCAAAGGGACAAUCCUCUUCUAGAGCGUGAGCUUACCUGUCUGCUCUCACAGGAAACUGAGAGCAGCGGUUCUCACCCUGCGACUUUUCUCUUCGUCCACUAUGACAGUGUUCUCUCUGCCCUUCUCUGAGAUUGCUCAUUUCUCAGUAGGCAAUUCACUGCUGUAAGUCACCCUGUUCACUAGGCUCUCUAAGGCUUGCCCUUGGCAUCUCUUCAAAAACCCCAACAGACUAGAAAGGACUGGCAAUGUGGAGUUGCUGAGAGUGGGAGAGGACGCUGCACGUUCAGCUUCCACUGCGCUUUAGGUAGGUUAGUUACGAUACCAUCUGCAUACUUUCCACUUAACCUGUCAUUACUAAGUAAAAUGAACUUAGUAAUGCACCCAUUUUACUUAGCAUUACUAAGUAAAAUGCACCCCUGGAGCAAACACUCAAUAUGGGAUGCAUUGCACUCCUAUAGGAAAUGAUUAAUAAAUCUGCAAUUUACCUAUCCUGAGGGAUUGGAAAUAAACCUGCGACAAAUCUGGGCAUGUUCCUGUGUAGAAAUGGCAAGCUCCACCCACCACCACCACUGCCAUACACACAGGCGGCUCGGGCACUAUUCCUGGUGUCAGUGCUGGUUCUAGGAUCAAGUGACAUAGCUGUCAUGUUCUAGAAGUCUCUGCCUCCCGGUCUGCCUUCUCAAUAGACUGAAGAUACUGUCUCAUUCCGAGACAGUAUCAUGUCUGUCUCAUUCCGAGACCCCUCUUUCCCAGGAGGUGAGUGUUCUAUGUAUGAGGGGUGUUUGCACGUACAUCUUUACAUUCACGCAUGAUGGGGGAGGGGGGAGAAUAUAUCCAUGGGUUAUUCCUUCUUUCACUCAGUCUGAGUUAUAUUACUUGCAUAAAUUAUUUUAAAGCUCCAAAUUUAUAACUGGGCAAUAACUAAAAGUAUACAGGCUCCAAAGCCACACAGACCUGGGCUCAAGCACCGCGGCAGUUCAUCUUUCAACUCCACAACUUUUUACACUAAAAUUAAGGCAGCAACUGCCCCAGCUUUAUAUGGCUGUGACAAUUAAAUGAGACAACCCAUUAAAAACACCCAACAUAGUGCUGGGCAUAUAUAAGGUGCUCAAAAACAGGAAUAAUUUUAAUAACCUGACUGUGUCUUGGAGCCCCUGGCAGCCAAGGCCUUACCUCCAAGUCUUCUUUCUUCUCCCUGUCCAUAAAUGGGCUCUGGUAUGGUCUCAAGGUCUCGGCCCACCACUCAGCAUCAACCCGGCACUU